UACGAAGGGGGCUAGCGUUGUUCGGAAUUACUGGGCGUAAAGCGUGCGCAGGCGGCUUCUCAAGUCAGGGGUGAAAGCCCAGAGCUCAACUCUGGAAUUGCCUUUGAGACUGAGUGGCUUGAGUACGGGAGAGGUGAGUGGAAUUCCCAGUGUAGAGGUGAAAUUCGUAGAUAUUGGGAAGAACACCGGUGGCGAAGGCGGCUCACUGGCCCGUAACUGACGCUCAUGCACGACAGCGUGGGGAUCAAACAGGAUUAGA
rnacentral:rRNA from 1 species